CUCUUGAACUCUGGCGAAGGUCUCUCUCUUCAGUGACAUGCAUCUGCAUUUCAAGAAAAACUUGUUCAUUCAGAUCUUUCAAGAUUUGUCGCAUCAAGAACAGCUAAAACAAAUGCCAUUGUGGAUGUUUUGCUUGUUUGUGUGUCAUCAUCAUCCUCAUCGGCACCAUUGGAUAACUUGGACAACUGGGGGGCUAUCAUCUUCGACGAAGCUUCGCCAGCAUCACCUUAGUCAUCGUCAUCAGGAGCUUCUUAGCAUUGAUGAGCGCAAUGAUGGGAGCUUCUGAUGGCUGCUAGGUUUCAUUGGUGUUUGCUCAAAAGCUUUAGGGUCAACGUCCGGAGUGUCUGAAGCUUUUAGUUGUAGAUUUGUGAGUUUAAGAUUUUUAGUGUUUAUUGUCAUGACAUGAUCUCUAUUAAAUCGAUAAACCAAAAAUAUUUAAAUCUAAAUUAAUAAUAAUACAUCUAUCACACUCUAA